rnacentral:rRNA from 1 species
GAUGAACGCUAGCUACAGGCUUAACACAUGCAAGUCGAGGGGUAACAAGAGAAAAGCUUGCUUUUCUUGUUGACGACCGGCGCACGGGUGAGUAACGCGUAUCCAACCUGCCUAUAACUAGGGAAUAACCUUGCGAAAGUAAGACUAAUACCCUAUGAUUUCCUUUGAUGACAUCAGAUUAGGAAUAAAGAUUUAUCGGUUAUAGAUGGGGAUGCGUCUGAUUAGCUUGUUGGCGGGGUAACGGCCCACCAAGGCAACGAUCAGUAGGGGUUCGGAGAGGAAGGUCCCCCACCUUGGAACUGAGACACGGUCCAAACUCCUACGGGAGGCAGCAGUGAGGAAUAUUGGUCAAUGGGCGGAAGCCUGAACCAGCCAAGUAGCGUGCAGGAUGACGGCCCUAUGGGUUGUAAACUGCUUUUAUACAGGAAUAAAGUUAGCCACGUGUGGUUAUUUGUAGGUACUGUAUGAAUAAGGACCGGCUAAUUCCGUGCCAGCCGCCGCGGUAA